UGUAUAACUUAUAGCUCUCAGUCUGAUUAGUAAUCCGCACAAAAAGAGUUUAUAGCAAAUGAAUAGUAUAAAUAUAGUACUUAAGUUAGAUAACAUGUUUUCUAUUAUAUAUAUAUAACUGGAAAAUCAUUUGUUAAAGUUAAACACAUCAAGAGUCAAAAUUUGAGACUUUAGAAUGCUUAAAGAUAGUAUAAUCAUAUUUUUCUAGACGUAAAAAGUGUGGCAAUCAAAAUCCACCAUAUUUACGUAUCAAUGAGCUUAUACUGUGGAAUGGUGUACAAAAAACAAACGAACAUAUACCUGUGGAUAGAGUGGUCGUAGGUGCCAAUAUGGCGGUUGACCUGGCCAACACGACGGAGCUACUGCAACAGCCGGAGGAAUUGGAAACGUCCGAUGAGGAGACGAUGAUGGAUUGUUAGGCUUGUGUUUAGGCCACGUAGGAUGACCCCACACGUGCAAAGGCCUGAAGUGGCCCUGAUGUAACGGUGUCACAUGUGGUGGAUAGCCUAAGGCAGGAUGAGCCAUACUUAGCUUUUCUCCUUCAGGCACUGCCACUGUGGCAUGCCGUCGGAGGUUCCAGCUCGCAGCUUCUGCUUCACGGGCUAGUAAAUGCUUUCGAUGUGACCUAUAUUUCUACCAUUACAAGAUAGACACACAAAAUUAAUACUUUUAUGGUUGAUGUAAAUUUAU